rnacentral:rRNA from 1 species
CGAGUGGCGGACGGGUGAGUAAAGGCUUGGGGAUCUGGCUAUAAGAGGGGGAUAACUACGGGAAACUGUAGCUAAAUACCGCGUAAAGUAGGGAUACCAAACGGUGGUAGGGACUAGAGAUGCCACAUGCUUAUAGAUGAACCCAAGUGAGAGUUAGGUAGUUGGUAAGGUAAGGGCUUACCAAGCCGACGAUCUCUAGCUGGUCUGAGAGGAUGACCAGCCACACUGGAACUGAGAGACGGUCCAG